rnacentral:rRNA from 1 species
UUUUAUCAGUUUUUGUGGAAAAAUUGAGAAUUAAUAAAGUUAGCUGGUUCCGUCCGAAGUUUCCCUCAGGAUAGCUGGCAUUCAAUUUUCACAGUUAUAUCCGGUAAAGCGAAUGUUUAGAGGCAUUGGGCGUAAAAUACGCUCAACCUAUUGACAAACUUUAAAUGGGUAUGAAGUUCAUUUUUCUACUUCAUUGAGAAUGAACAGCGAAUGUGAGUGCCAAGUGGGCCAUUUUUGGUAAGCAGAACUGGCGCUGUUGGAUGCACAAAACGUCAAGAUAAAGAGCCAGAUGGUCUCGCUCAUCAGAUACCAUAAAAGGUGUUGGUCGAUAUAGACAGCAGGACGGUGGCCAUGGAAGUCGGAAUCCGUUAAGGAGUGUGUAACAACUCACCUGCCGAAUCGACUAGUCCUAAAAAUAGGAUGACGCUCGAGCGAGCCUCUUAUACUUGACUGUUACGAUACAACAAGCCAUUAACGGACAUCAUGUCGUAACAAGUAGGACGGUUGAUAUGGUUGCGUCGAAGGCUAACACGUGAGUGUGGCUUGAGCAGUCAUAUGUACAGAUCUUAGUGGUAGUAGCAACUAUUCAAAUGAGAACUUUGAAGACUGACGUGGAGAAAGGUUCCAUGUGAACAGCUAUUGGACAUGGGUCAGUCAGUCCUAAGAUGCGCUCGAAAGAGGGUUCCGAACGAGGAAUAUCUAUAUUCAUAUCAUAUUUAUAUUCCAUCAAAUCGAAAGGGAAACAAGUUAAUAUUCUUGUACUAAGUGUCGGAGAUUGUUUGAUUUCGUGUCAAACAUAUGUGGUAACACAAACAAGCUCAAAUACAUCACAAGUGGUCCUGGAAAAGAGUUUUUCUCUUCUUUGUUACUUCAUCAGACGACCCUGGAAUCAGUUCAACUGGAGAUAGGGUUCAAAUGAAGGUAAAGAGUAGCCGUUCUUGCUACUUCCUCGGUGCAUCAUUUGUGAUCCUUGAAAAUUUGAGCGAGAUAUUCAAUUUCGCACUUAUCUGUACUCUAAACCGCAUCAGGUCUCCAAGGUGAAAAGCCUCUAGUCAAUUAGAACAAGGUAGCACAAGGGAAGUCGGCAAAAUCGAUCGGCAACUUCGGGAUAACGAAUUGGCUCUAAGUGCUAGGGUGUUCGGGCUUGAUGAUAAAGCAGUAGACUUGCUAUUGGAGCUGAGCUUUCGGAUGCAGCAAUGUGUCUGAUCGUUCGGACUAGUGGCUUGUCUUGCUGUGGAAUCGUUUUGCUACGGUAUGCGGUUCGCUUGCGGGCCGUAUUACUUCGGACAUCGUUUAAUAGCAAACUUAGAACUCGCUGCGUCUAGGGGAAUCCGACUGUCUAAUUAAAACAGAGCUUUGCGAUUGGCCGGAAAACUUGGUGUUGACGCAAAGUGAUUUCUGCCCAGUGCUCUGAAUGUUAACGUGAAGAAAUUCAAAUAAGCGCGGGUAAACGGCGGGAGUAACUAUGACUCUCUUCUGGUAGCCAAAUGCCUCGUCAUCUAAUUAGUGACGCGCAUGAUGCGGGAGCGAUGCAGACACCUCCACGCGGUGCUCCUGGAAAGUUGAAUGGGACUAAGUUACCCACUCAGCAACUAAUCAUCUGUACAAACGAAGCCGAAGCCCGGCGCAAACUCAGGUCUGAUCGUCUUGUCCACCCAACGGUGGCAAGCGAUGACUCAAAGUUAACCGUUGGUUUUCGUGCGUCGUCACCUAUGCUCACCCAUCAAUCCGAACAAAGUCCACUUGGACAAAAGGAUCGGGUGAGGGAGUCUCUGCUCUGCAGAGGAGACCAGGUCAUUGGAAUGACGAAGAGAUUGAAGAGCUGAGUAGACUGGUCAAUAGCAAUAUUGGCCCCCAGGGUAAAAUCUCCUGGGUAGCUGUUGAAAAGCUUAGGAAAGAUCUCAAUCUCGGUGA